AGUCCUGUGGAAGCCACAGGGAGAGAUGUAAAGAUAAGUUAGGGUCGUGACCUAAUUUAAUUCUAAUUUUUGGUCGCCAGGGGAUAUCCCAAAUAAAAAUACCCAAGUCAGUUUGGAAAUAUAUGGUGGUUUAAUCAAUAUAGAGGGAAGAAAUCAAGGAGAAGAGAGAGGGAGAGGGUAUAGGAUUUCUCCCACCUGGCCUGUGCCAGGGGGAGUUCAAAAUCCUCCGCUACAAGGUUUCUGAAGAAGAUUAGAGGCUUCUAAGUGGAUAGUGUUUGAAAGGUAAAAGAGAAAAAAUCAGCCUAAAAUUCCGAGAGAUCUCAGAGAAGAUACCUCACUUCACCUAGGUAACUAGUCUUUCUCCAGUAUGGUAUCAAGGAAAACUCACCACUAAAAACCAGACAAUAGCUGAUGUCACGCCAAGAUGUUGACAUGUUCAGCCAGCUGCCACCAGCCACCUCUCUUCUGUCCAAGAGGCCGGAGAGAGGAAGUGACACAAAAUAUAGAUGGUUUUAUAUCACUUUCCUGCGUCUCACAGGUACCAAUGAUAUCUUAGGCUUGACUUAGGACAGUCCUGGGGUCUGUCAGUUGUUUCUGAUUGGCCAUUUGCUAGCACAUGUCUGUCAUAGGCCAUCCUCUAAAAUAUGUAAUCCUUAAGUAUGGGUGUAGACAUUCCUGAUUUUGUUAGACUAAGUAGGGUGGAGUAAUCUAAAGUUCACAGAGAGGAGACCAGAGGCGGCCAUUAGUCGCAGAGUUCUUGGGAAGUUAGUCUUGGUGGCGAAGAGGAAGGAGGGAAGCACUUGAGAGCUUUCCUACAUAUCCGUGAUGGAAAAGAAGCUUUCAAUGUGGGGAGGCACGCCCUCUAAUCAUGCUCGGCGGGGGGCAGGGAGCUCUUUAGAUGGCAGCCCGUUUUGUCAGGUAUCCAGGACAGACCCCGAUUCUGGAAGGGGAUUUGGCCCUGGAAGCUUGUGGUUUCCUGAUUUUUAGUGUUAAACAAGGGCCAACAAACUACUAGUGAUUUAGUUAUGAACCACCGGUGUCUGCGGAGGAAAACAAUUCCUACGUUCAUCAAAGCGGCUGACAUCAAAUGAUGGAAGGGGUUCCCUGUCCCCUGGAGUUGUAUCAGCUUAGAAAACAAAGGGAUGGCGCCAUAUGUAAUCCUUGAAGUUUCACGGCCUUACAAUGGCUCCCUCUGGGUUGUGCUGACUUUACCUAAUUCUUUGCUAUGUUCCUAUGAUAGGGCUAAGAAAGGUCGAGAGAAGAACCUUGGAGUCUGAGAACGUGGCUCUAGCUACGGCCCUGCAUGUAUUUGCCUUCUACAUCCUGAAUCUGGUCCUUCAACUCAUUGAUCUCCUGAGGGAAACGGCAAAAACAGGGAAGGAUGUCACAGAGACAAAUGGACGGGUCACCCACAGAGGCCAGGGAUGUCCAGCUGGAGCUGACGGGCUUCUGGGUCCUAAUUUCCCAAAUGACAAAACUUCCACAAAUAAUUAAAUAGCCAGUGAACACCGGG